UUAACGUUACUUCUAACGUUC
rnacentral:misc_RNA from 1 species